rnacentral:rRNA from 1 species
GACGUAGGAUGCGAGCGUUGUCCGGAUUCAUUGGGCGUAAAGAGCGCGCAGGCGGUCGUACAAGUCGCGUGUGAAAGCCCCCGGCUCAACUGGGGAGGGUCGUGCGAUACGGUCGGGCUGGAGGCCAGUAGGGGGAUGCGGAAUUCCGGGUGUAGUGGUGGAAUGCGUAGAGAUCGGGAGGAACACCAGUGGCGAAGGCGACUAUCUGGGCUGCAACUGACGCUGAGGCGCGAAGGCUAGGGUAGCAAACAGG